GCCAGGUGUGGUGGCUCACACCUGUAAUCCUAGCACUUUGGGAGGCUGAGGUGGGUGGAUCACCUGAGGUCAGGAGUUCAAGACUAGCCUGACCAACAUGGUGAAACCCUGUCUCUA
rnacentral:SRP_RNA from 1 species